AGCUUAGGGUACAGAGAGAAAAGGACUCUGUUCAGGGAAAACCGUGUAUACUGCUGACUUACUAGGGGAUUUCUGGAGAUUCUUAAAAAAUGUAAAAGUCUAUUGUGUGGUUCAUGGGCAAGUCACUUCCCCUCUCUGUGCCUUAGUUUCCUCAUUUGGAAAAAGUGAAUCAUAACAAUAGCUGCUUCAUAGCAUCAGUUAGCAGAUUAAUGAGUUAAUAUCUGCAAAGGACUUAGGGCAGUUACCUGGAACACAAUCAGGGCUAUAUCACUUGUUGGUUAUUUUACUGUCGUUGAGACAGAGAAAAGCACUGUUCUCAAAUAAGUCAGCCGAAGUAGGAAAGAAAAGCCUAUUGACUUCACUAACAUUAAUGAAUCAAGUAGUAUUAAUCAUUACUUUUGCUGCUAGUGCAACUGAGUGCAAUUUUUAUGGUCAUAUCUUUACAAGGUUUUUAAAAGCAUAGAUAUAAUUCUGGAUUUCUACACAGUUGGUAAAAUUUUAAGAUGCUUCCAUAUAUACAUAAAUUUUUUUUUGAUGUUUAUUUAUUU